rnacentral:rRNA from 1 species
AUUGAACGCUGGCGGCAGGCCUAACACAUGCAAGUCGAGCGAGCGGCGGACGGGUGAGUAAUGUAUGGGGACUGCCCGAUAGAGGUGGAUAACUACUGGAAACUGUGGCUAAUACCGCAUACUAGCGGAUAACCCAUAUGGGAUUAGCUAGUAGUUGGGGUAAAGGCUCACCUAGGCGACGAUCUCUCGCUGGUCUGAGAGGAUGAUAAGCCACACGGGGACUGAGACACGGCCCAGAGUCCGACGGAGGCAGCAGUGGGGAAUAUUGCACAAUGGGGGCAAGCCUUAUGCAGCCAUGCCGCGUGUAUGAAGAAGGCCGUAGGGUUGUAAAGUACUUUCAGCGGGGAGGCGUUACCCGCAGAAGAAGCACCGGCUAACUCCGUGCCAGCAGCCGCGGUAAUUC